GAUGCAGAAGCAUAUGAACUGACUUCGAUUGCCUCUGAACCUACUGAAACUCAUGUGCAUGAUAUGAUAGACUUUCAGCUCCUGGACAUCAUCGACAGCCUCACCAUCGACAUCUGCAGCAGCAUUAAUGGCUUUGGAGUUCAGACUGCAGGCAAACGUAUCUUAUCAGAAUGUGAAUGUCCAUCCAUCCAUCCAUCCAUCCAUCC